rnacentral:rRNA from 1 species
GCAUAACGCGAAGAACCUUACCAGGCCUUGACAUGCAGAGAACUUUCCAGAGAUGGAUUGGUGCCUUCGGGAACUCUGACACAGGUGCUGCAUGGCUGUCGUCAGCUCGUGUCGUGAGAUGUUGGGUUAAGUCCCGUAACGAGCGCGAACCCUUGUCCUUAGUUACCAGCACGUCAUGGUGGGCACUCUAAGGAGACUGCCGGUGACAAACCGGAGGAAGGUGGGGAGUGACGUCAAGUCAUCAUGGCCCUUACGGCCUGGGCUACACACGUGCUACAAUGGUCGGUACAGAGGGUUGCCAAGCCGCGAGGUGGAGCUAAUCUCACAAAACCGAUCGUAGUCCGGAUCGCAGUUUGCAACUCGACUGCGUGAAGUCGGAAUCGCUAGUAAUCGCGAAUCAGGAUGUCGCGGUGAAUACGUUCCCGGGUCUUGUAC